CCCUUAGAUGUCCUGGGCCGCACGCGCGCUACACUGAUGCAUUCAACGAGUUUUACCUUGGCCGAGAGGCCUGGGCAAUCUUUUAAACCUGUAUCGUGAUAGGGAUAGAUUAUUGCAAUUAUUAAUCUUGAACGAGGAAUUCCUAGUAAACGCAAAUCAUCAAUUUGCAUUGAUUACGUCCCUGCCCUUUGUACACACCGCCCGUCGCACCUACCGAUUGAAUGGUCCGGUGAAGCCUCGGGAUUGUGGCCAGUUCACUUUAUUGGGAGUUGGCUGUGAGAACUUGUCUAAACCUUAUCAUUUAGAGGAAGGUGAAGUCGUAACA
rnacentral:rRNA from 1 species